rnacentral:tRNA from 1 species
GGCGCAAGGCGUUGAAAAUAAAGUAACUUAUUGUUUUGUAAGCCUUAAGUUUGGGACUCAUAAUCGCUUGGUCGCUGGUUCAAGUCCAGCAGGGGCCACCA